ensembl:piRNA 21ur-3482 ncRNA
UUAUGCGAGUUUUCUCAUAGU